UCCUACGGGGGGCAGCAGUAAGGAAUAUUGCGCAAUGGACGAAAGUCUGACGCAGCAACGCCGCGUGCAGGAUGAAGGCCCUUUGGGUUGUAAACUGCUGUAGCAGGGGAAUAAGAGCUCCUUAUGGGAGCGUGAAGGUACCCUGAAAGUAAGCGCCGGCUAACUACGUGCCAGCAGCCGCGGUAAUACGUAGGGCGCAAGCGUUGUCCGGAUUCACUGGGUGUAAAGGGUGCGCAGGCGGGAAGGCAAGUCAGAGGUGAAAUCUCACGGCUCAACCGUGAAACUGCCUUUGAUACUGCUUUUCUUGAGUCAGGGAGAGGUUGAUGGAAUUCCAGGUGUAGCGGUGAAAUGCGUAGAUAUCUGGAAGAACACCGGUGGCGAAGGCGGUCAACUGGCCCUGAACUGACGCUGAGGCACGAAAGCGUGGGGAUCAAACAGGAUUAGAUACCCCUGUAGUCGG
rnacentral:rRNA from 1 species